UGGCAGUAUUGGAGGAGGAAAACUGAAGAGACUGAGCUUUUAGCAGUGGAUUGAGUUGAAUGAAACAAGCUAACUAGUAGGAGAGAAGCUGGCAUGAGCUGGAAACUGCAACAAGCUGGCUUAGGCGUUGUUUUGAAGCUGGAAGUGAAAGGAGGCUCACAGUGUUGAUAAGAGGAACUGAGGGAUACCUGACCUGCUCUAGGAUUACAAGAGCCCCCAUUCCUGUUACACGACAGAGGUCAGAAUUUACUGGCAUCAGCGGCAGCUGCUACAGAGAGCAAAG
ensembl:lncRNA